rnacentral:lncRNA from 1 species
UCACAUCUCUCUCUACCUUCUCUCUAUCUCUCUUUCUCUCUUUAAUCCGAUGAAAACUGCCACUCCCUCGACUUUUACGCCUCUUCCACCGACAAAGACACCACUAAAAGCCUAUGUCAGAUGAGACCUGCCGACCAUCCCAUUAUCGCCGUCGUCCGUACCUCUAACGCCGCCAGCCACCGCUGCAAGCAGCCAUGCAGCCGGCGAUCCUCCCAAUGCUGCUGCCACCUUCGAGGCCCCCUACCGACAACAAUAUCAAUGACCAAGCCGCCAACAAUACCAGCACUGUCGUCGCCUUCUAGCGCUGCCACUUCCCAAGCCGCCUUCCCUCACAUGCAACUGACACCGGCGAACCAGCAGCCCGUGCCACCACAACAACACCAACGGCCAUCCUUAUCUCUCACGCCACCACUGUCACUCCGACUCCCUUGAAUCCGAUUGGAAUUCACUGUAAAAUCAUUUACUAGUACAUGAAAGAUGUACCGAUGUAAAUUCGUCACAGGUUUGUUUUCAUUUUGAGUUUUGGCUAAAUAUUUUCUAUACCUUUUGCUCUUAAAUGGGUUCUUAGAUUCAAAAUUGGUAACGUUUGACUUUGAAUUUUUGUUUAAUUCCUUCAAAUACAUGAUUAUCUUCUCAGCUAGAUCAAAAUAUGUGAAAACGCCCAAUUUCUAAUGAUAAAAUUUUAUGAGUUUUGGUACUAAUUGUCUGGUUGAUUUACCAUGAACACCACAUGUUAAUUUGUGAAGUCCAUUUCGUCAUCAUCCUUCUUACUCAUUUUUGAUUUCUUGGUAGAACCGGUUCUUAGAAGAUAUUAAUGCUAUGUCAACAUAUUAUGUGCCUAUGUUACUUCUGAGUAAUAACAAAUUCUUUUUCUCUUUGUUUGGAAUGAGCGGAAUUUUUGGCAUGAUUUUCUUGGACAACCUUGAUAUUUAAAUAUUUAUGGUAAACAUAUAAUUUGUGUGUGAUUGAGAAUAUGUAUAUUGGCAAUUAAUUUGCUCACUUAAAUUUUGGAUAGACUGAUAGCCUCAUUAUUGCUUAUUUAUGGUAAAAAUUUCAUACAAGCUCUCCCUCUUACCUUUUCUGAUCUAAACAGAUUAUGCAUGAAUUGUUUAUAUGGUACAACAACAAACCCAGUGUAUUCCCACCUGGUGGGGUCUGGGGGGUAGGAUGUACGCAGUCCAUACCUCUACCUCUGAAGAAGUAGAAAGGCUGUUUCCGAUAGACCCCCGGCUCAAGACACGCGGUACCACACAAACAAAUAGUAAAGCACAGCACAAGGUUACAAGAUUACAUAACAUAAAUACGGCACCCAUAAGUAAUCUAAAACAAAGGAAAACACACAGAUCCAUAAUAAAACAUGGGACGCGGGCUCCUAACAUGCAUAAACCCCCACCAAGUAGUUCCCUACACUAGCGACUCAGACUGGCCCUAGUCCACUGCCCUGAUUCGCGUCCUCCAGACCUUCCUAUCUAGGGUCAUGUCCUCGGUGAGCUGUAACUGCUCCAUGUCUCGCCUAAUCACCUCACCCCAGUACUUCUUCGGCCUACCCCUACCCCGCUUAAACCCAUCCAACGCUAGCCUCUCACACCUACGGACCGGGGCAUCCAUGCCCCUCCUCUUCACGUGUCCGAACCAUCUCAAUCGGGCUUCCCGCAUCUUGCACUCCACUGGUGUCACACCAACCUUCUCCCGGAUGUUCUCAUUCCGAACUCUAUCCCCUCUAGUCAGCCCACACAUCCAGCGCAACAUCCGCAUUUCUGCCACCCUCAUCUUUUGGAUGUGGGAGUUCUUAACUGGCCAACACUCCGCUCCAUACAACAUGGCCGGACGGACUACCGCCCUGUAGAAUUUGCCUUUAAGCUUAGGCGGCACCUUCUUAUCACACAGCACCCCCGACGCGAGCUUCCACUUCAUCCAUCCCGCCCCAAUACGGUGCGAGACAUCCUCAUCAAUCUCACCGUUACUCUGGAUCACGGACCCGAGAUACUUGAAACUCUCCCUCUUACCUACCUCCUGUGAUUCCAGCUUCACUACUACCUCGUUCUCCCUCCUCAUGUCAUUAAACUUGCAUUCCACAUACUCUGUCUUGCUUCUGCUCACCCUGAACCCUUUAUACUCAAGGGUUUGCCUCCACACCUCUAAUUUGUCGCUCACACCCUCUCGGGUCUCAGCUAUCAGAACUACAUCGUCUGCAAAAAGCAUACACCACGGCACCUCCCCUUGAAUACGCCGCGUCAACACAUCCAUUACCACUGCAAACAAAAAGGGACUAAGAGUAGAUCCCUGAUGCAACCCUGUCCGGACCGUGAAAUGUUCUGAGUCUCCUCCCGCCGUCCUCACCUUAGUUUUCGCUCCAUCAUACAUAUCCUUGAUUGCUCUGAUAUAUGCCAGCGGUACUCCCCUCACCUCCAAGCAUCUCCAAAGCACCUCCCUAGGGACGUUGUCGUAGGCCUUCUCCAGGUCGAUAAACACCAUGUGCAGGUCCUUCUUCCUCUCCCUAUACUGUUCCACCAACCUCCGUACCAGGUGAAUUGCCUCCGUCGUCGAGCGGCCAGGCAUAAAUCCAAACUGGUUUUCUGAAAUAGACACUAUCCGUCUCAGCCUCACCUCGACCACUCUCUCCCAGAUUUUCAUAGAGUGACUCAAUAACUUAAUACCCCUAUAGUUGUUGCAACUCUGGAUGUCCCCCUUAUUCUUAUAGAGAGGUAUCAUGGUGCUCCACCUCCAAGCCUCGGGCAUCUUUGCCGUCUUGAAGAUUUCAUUAAACAAUCCCGUCAACCACCUAAGACCAGCCUCUCCAACGAACUUCCAAAACUCGACCGGUAUCUCAUCCGGCCCCGUCGCCCUACCCCUUCGCAUUCUGCGAACAGCCUGUCUAACCUCUUCUACCUUAAAACGUCUACAAUAGCUAAAAUCCCGACACUCCUCUGAGUGCUCCAGUUCCCCUAACACAAUAGCUCUAUCCCCUUCGUCAUUCAAGAGCCUAUGAAAGUACGACUGCCAUCUAUUCUUAAUGUGGCCGUCUUCCACCAACACUCUACCGUCCUCCCCCUUAAUGCACCUCACCUGAUCGAGGUCACGACCCUUCCUCUCCCUAGCCUUAGCGAGUCUAAACAACUUUUUCUCCCCUCCCUUCCCCUGUAACCCUGCAUACAGGCUCUCAAAGGCGGCCGUCUUAGCUGCCGUGACUGCUGACUUAGCCUCCUUCCUCGCUAGCUUGUACUCUUUCCUGUUUACCCGUUUCUCCUCUUCGUCCUUACUCUCCACCAACUUGGCAUACGCCCCUUUCUUGGGUGGGGUUGGAUAGGAAGUGUUGCACAUUAGUUCUCUUGAGUAGAAAUGUAUAGCCAGUCCAACUGAAGGCUGUAGCUUAGUAUGGAACUUAGUUGCUCAGAUUUUAGUUGGAAUAUAACAUACAAACUGUGAAGAGCCAUUAGAAUAUGCAUAAGAGCAUUAUUUCCAGGCAUUCAUGAGACCUUCAUACACUGUGAAUCUACAAUUGCACAAUGCCAAUUUAUACUUAUUGAAGACAUUUGCUUCUACAAAUAUUUAAUUGCUGAAGCUGAGAUCAGCGUCUUUUGACCCUACUUACAGAUUGAAAAUGUAAGGUUAAUAAGAUAUUAACAUUUGAGAACGUGUUUGACACUAGUUAGAUAAUUGUUGUGUACUUUCACAAAUCAGACAAGUGUGCAUACUAGUAAAUUGUUCAAGAAUAUAUCACCAAGUUUACAGCUCUAAUGAGGUAUUAUGCCUCUAACUGAAUCUUAAUUAAAGUAUUUUUGCUAUUCUUAUUUGGUCAAGGUAAAUGUGAUUAACUAGUCGACUUUCUUUAUUUUGUUCAACGUUGUCUCCAAGCAUGUGAAAGUUCUUAGUUAUUUUAAGUUGUAACUUGUCUCAAUGAUAAGAGAUUAAUCCGGAUCAUAGUAUUUGAGCUGCACUCAGACAGAGUGAAUUUUAUCAAGCGAUUGUGGUAAUUGUUUACAUCUUCUGUUGCUUGAGCUUGUCGAGUCAGUUCACCUUCCCCCUUUCCCCUUUGCUAUUGGAUCACUGAAACGGAAUGAUUUUCUUUUGACUUCAUUACAAUAUAUGUAUUCUUUGCUAAGUCAAGAUGUUGCUCAGUUCAUAGCCAUGAUGUUUCUUGAUGCAUGCAGGUAUGUGCAGCACUUCCAGGAGAAGGAGAAGUUAGAACACAGAUACUAAUGUUACAUUCCCCAUUUGAACGAGGGAGGACCUCUGUUUGUAUUUUUGUUUUGAACAGGAAAUAAUAAGUCAUGUUUUGGAACUUUCUACCAUCAUUUUGAGGAUAUUUACUUUUAUGGCCUAUUAAAUGCAAACUAGUUGAUUUUUGGUCUUUUGAAAUGUUUGUACAUCCUGAUUCUUGUACUGGGAUGGUUGGAUUCUGUAAGUUCAUCAUACUCAAUUCAUUUUGCUACUUCAUCAAAUGUUCCGUUCACCCUGGCACUGAAAUAAACUAUAAUGGCGGAGGAAUAACUCACUAUUUGCUCACCAAUGAGACAAUGUACUCAAGGGACAAUACUAUAUAUAUGUGCCAGCUCAUUUCCAUACUUACAGACAAGUUUGCUUUCUUGCACAUUUCUUCAGAUAUUGAGCAUAUUAAUUUGUUCAUGAUGAUGUAAAACUUAUACUUCCAAUUAAGCAUUAUUAAUUUGAUCUAGCUGAUGAGAAUGUUUAUGAAUAUCGUAGAAGUAUACCAUGCCAUAUCUUUCCACCAAAGUUGAAAUCAAUGUAAAGCAGAAAUUUUUACUAAUUGAUUGAACAAAACCAAACCAUCUUUCAACUUUCAUGGGAAAAUACUGACACUAAUAGAAUCUAUUAGUUGGAGAUAUGGAUUAGAAUGUGUUUUAUGAUGCCGGUCUUGAGACGGUAUCAAUUCCUAAAGAUGGGGAACCUCUCAAUUCGUAAAGAUAAAACCCUUAAUCAUAAGAGUAAAUUAAAACAACAUAAUGAAAUGAAGAUGUUCAACAUAGAUACUAAUAAGUUCCAUGCAAAAUAAGAAAUUCAAGCAACGAAGUUUCAUUCAACAAAGUAGAAAACUAAAUAUGCUAUUUGUAGGAUUAUGCCACUUCAAUUCCCUAAGCAGAUGUAAGAAAGGCUGUUCCAGGCUGACGUGCAGCAAGAGGACCAUGGUUGCCAAGAAGCUGCAAAAACAAAAGAAUAGGCAAAUAAGUUUUCACAAGCAAUAAAGUGCAAAUUGCUACUGCCAACCAAAUGCAUGGCGCCGACGGUCGGCGACGGCGCCGAAGGCCGUGGACCGAGAUAAAGAGUCUAGUGAGAGAGAGAGUCUAGUGAGAGAGAGGGAUUAAAAUAUUUUCCUCCUUUCUUAAUUGAUUCAAUUUACUGAUUUAUAUUAAUUGAUUGUUAGAAUAUUGUGUUUCCUUUUCUACUGCAAUUAAUUGAUCCGUUCUUGUUUGUUUCUUUAAUUAAUUAUUGCUACUACUCACUAUAUAAACAACUCCUCCUUUUAUUAACAGACACUUUUCAUCUAACACUUGUACCCACUACUAUUUAUAUCUUCCCUAUAAAAGUUCAAUGUAAUUUUCAUACUCUACGUGAUAACUUUGUGAUAUGACUAUAGUUUUAUUUAAUACUUAUUUGUUCUACCUUUCAUGGUGUUGUAUCUUGGACCCAUUUUUUUUUUUGUAUUCUUUCGCUCUGCUACUCUCUUUAUGUCCUAAUAGGUGAUAUUAAAGUGGUGUUUUGAAGAGUCGCUCGGGAAUGGGAAGUGAGGUGCCCACUUUAGUGUAGUUUAUUUUAUUUAGUAUGUAAGAAGUUAUUUGUUCAAACAUUAUUCUGAUGUAAUAAUAAAAUUGGGGGCUUUUCGUGGGGAGGGGUUAUUUCCUCUAUGAAUCACGUAGCUAACACAGCUUAAGUCUUCGUGCUUUAUGUACUACGUGAAUCACCUAGUUAAACAUAAUUUAGGAUUCAUUAAUUAAAUUGCUUAUCACUUAGAAAUCAUGAUUUUAGGAGUUUAACUAAUUUUGCACUAUCAAAUUAUGUUUGAAUAUGUCAACUUAGCUUACAACGUAUUUUACUUUUGGCAUGUUUAACAAAGUUUGACAUUUUACGAACGAUAUUUCCAAUUCCAGCAUUUUAAAACUGUUUUCCAGCAUAUAAAUAUUAAGUUCCAGUAUGUUAAAUCAGGCGACAACAUAAAAGAUUCAUGUUCAACGUUUGUAUGUCUUUUAUUAAUUUAUAGCAUAUUUAAACUAUCUCUCCACAUGUAAAACCAUUUUUAGUCCACUAAACUUAAUUUUCAGUAAUUUUUCAACAUGCCCGUAUUAAUUUUCAGAAGAAAUAAAUGUUUCCAGUAACAAAAGGUUAGGCUACAACAUGAUUAGUUAUUUUUGAGCAUGCGAAUAUGUAUCCUUGGCAUUCUAAAAUUAAUUUUUAGCAUUUUGAAUAUGUUUGCAUAAUAGAAUUAACAAUUGUCACUCCCCAACACAUUUACUUGACUUUUACAUGCCUUUUAACAAAUUCACAACAUACUUUUGAAGCAUUUACUAAUCCCCUCUCGACAUAGCAAUUACUUUCCACUUAGACAUCAUGCAAUAGGUUAACCUAAAAAAAAUAAUUACUUGUCUUGUAUGUUAAUCACAUUAAUCACUCUUUAAUUAAUUAAGAGGCUAACUUGAGACAUUACAUGUUACUUGACGUCCUUUUGUUUUACACACUUUGAUUCCUAGGAAAUAUAGCUUUGAUUCGUCUAGACUACAAAUCUAAAUUAGCAAAGCCCAAUGCGUCUUGGGCGAUUGAUGGGGCGAUAGACAUUUCUAGAGGCAUUAGAUUUAUCCCCUUUUUAGUGCGUCUUUAGGUUAACAACCAACCUAGAUGGGAUGGGGUGGGUAGCUAUUCGGAAGUGAUGAUACCCAAAGACAUUACACUAUGUUUUACACUCUUACUUGUUUAAGAAUCCGACUAGUGGGCCAAAUAAUGAUUAACAAGUUAGGAUUCUGAUCCGAAUGAGACUAACAACUAUUCUUUGUUUGAUUUUGAGUAUUCUUUUUUUUUUUUAUGUUUACUUUACAUGCUUAUUUGCUUGUGGUAGUUUAGGUUUUUAAAUUAAUAAAUAUUUUGUUAUAAAUUGCUUUCCUUCAAUCUCUUUGCUUAUCUCCUUUACAUUAUUUGUCAUCUUUUUUUUAUCUCCACCUAGUUAAUAAUUAGAAAUAAAUAACAUGUUUUUUUAUUAAUUACUUUAUCACUUAGUUAACAUUUAAUUUAAAGAAACAAGCGACUUUUAUUUAUCACAUUGAAUCCCCACGUAAAAUAUGAAUUUGGCUGGAAACCACCUUUGUGGACCUCAAAAGGGGCUUAACGCCUACCUUUCGAGGUAAUUUGAACCCUUAUCUGAAUUUCUUGUGAACUAAGACUAAAUAAUAACAUAGGUUCGUAGUUGGCCUAGAUUGGUGCCCUAACACACCUUAAUGCAUUAGGUGGCGACUCUUCACAUUCACCCUUAAACAAUCCCAAAAAGAGUGUCGAAUCCCACUUUUUGCGAGAAAAAUAAGGUGCGACAGAAUGGAGUCUCUGCCGGGGAUCUUAGGUUCUAACCUUUCUGAGUUUGUAUUCUUACCUGGGAUUCUAUUGUUUGCCUGAAUUUUUUUUUUAUUGUGAUUUUUUAUGAUUAUUGUUUGUUUUGACAUCUUAAUUUAUUUUUUCCCACAUGUUAUUCCUUCUCCUUUUAUGUGUUUUUCAUAUUUCUCCAUGCCCCUCCCCUCUUCUUCCUUUAUCGGCUAUAUGCUUUAAUGUUUAUUUACUUUUAUUUUCUAAGCAUGUUAUUAUAUUUUGCUUUGUGCUAUAUGUUACUGAUUUAUUGUAACUAGCAUUCAGCUCAUAUUUUCCUCCAGUUGGAACCUUUUUUUUAUUUUUACGAAUGGUUGUAUGGUUGCACGGACGUUCUUUCCUAAAACACCUUUCGAAAAAUGCCUUGUAAAUUGAUCGAUCAGUGGUGCGUCGACAGUCACAAGCUCUCCCACUCUCGAAUUGUCUACUCGAGGGAACCAUGUCAUAAACCCACUCUUGUCCUUUAGGUCUUGGCUAUAUAUUUAUUUUACUAAGAAAUAUGCGUCUCAUUCAACCUAGGAUGCCUUGGCACCCUUGAUGGUUGAAUGUUAAGUCUCUUUCAAAGUCCAAAGGGGUUCACAACCCUGAAGGACGCAUAAUACUAUUUGCUACAUAUUGCAUUUCUAUCUUGUUAUUUUCAUUCUUGUAUUAGUCGCUCCUUAUUCUUAGUUUUUUUUUUUAAUUUUUGAGUCCAUUACUCUCAAAAAUUUUUCCAUGUUAGGACCCUACAAUACACUCUUAGGGUCUGUGUAAAACCCUCGCUUCAUUUAGUACAACUUGUCAUUUUAGGAUAUCCUCUUCCUAUUGCUUCCAACGUUUACAUACUUUUGUCCUGCCGUGAUCCUUUUGAAGUUGUCAUACUCAUGUCAUACUCUAGUUUUCACAACCUCUAAGAGGCAUAGAGAUCUAAUAACUUCUAUUCUCCGAAUGAGCAUAACUCAUUAUUUUCAAAUGAGUAGGAUAUUCAUUUUGGACUUUUAUGCGUACACUUUGUUCCUAAUUAUAAAUUCUUUCUUCUAAGGUUGACUAAAGUUGAACUUCAGAAAUUUCUAGUCAAGCAAUGUUUAUCAAUCAUGUCAAUAGCAAAGCUGAGCAUGAAAACUUGGGGUUGCAUAAAAAUAAAGUUAUUUCGAGCAUCAGAAGGCUAGAAACAAGAAUAGGGAGAAUUAGAGGAAUAGUGACUGAUCUUCAAGGUUUAGUUGAGAUGCCACCAGGUUUUCCAGAGCCGCUAUCUGAAAUGGACUUUAACACCCCCAUCCACACUACGAAGUCUCCUAUAUUGACAACUUCACCUAUGCCUUAUUGUGAUACACACAUGUGUCCAAGUCAUUUUUUAAUUGUGUUGCUAAAAGAACUUAUUGGGUUGAAAAAUACGAGUAAGGACAAGGAGACAGAAGGAUAGGCUUCUAACCAUGAGGCAGAAUUAUCUCAACAGCCCAAAAUGCAUAAGUCAUCCAAAUCAAGAGAAGAAGACAAUGAUAGAAUCGAGGGUUUGAACUUUCCAUUAUAUGAUGGGUCAUGAAAACCUCAUUGCCAUUUGAAUAAGCACCUUGACAAGCUAUCAGUUAUAGGACGAAGUAAUAGCCCGAAGACGAAACUCUUUGUUAGUUCACUUAAGGGUCCAGCAUUUAUGUGGUAUGCUGAAAAAAAUACUAGCAAGUGCGUCUCUUAGGAUCAUUUUGAAACUGGAUUUGUUAGGCAGUUUGGCAAUAACCUAAAAAGGAAGCUCACAGUAGAGGCAAAUUUGGUUAAGCCACAAUACAAGGAUAAGGGAAAGACGAUCACCGACGAGACAUCCAAUUCUCCAAAGCCUGAAGUAAGCGUACCCAACCUCAACUCAUAUGGUACCCAACUCUAGAAUUCAUUCCAACAUGCAAUUAUGUCCAAGCUUAUUAUCCCCGAUCCUUCACAAAAUAUCCUCCUCAAACUAUUCGGUACCCACAUCCAUCCGCUGCUUCAAAAUCAAACUACAUUCAAGUUUCUUAUCAAAACCUACCCACAAAUCAAUAAUCUAACCAGUUUACCAGACCUCAACAUAAGCGGUAGAAAAACACACCAAAAUAGUACACUCCUCUAGGUGAACCCGUAGAACAGUUGUAUGAACCACUCAAGAAGACAGGCUACAUCACGCCCAUUGCUGUCAUACCUUGCCUACUAAGGAGUGCUUCACCUUGAAGAAGAUAAUCCAGAAGUUGAUUGGCACCAAGGUGAUAAUUGUGAGUAAACAAAAUAGGGAUGUAUUUUGAUUUUCUAAACUUGACUAGAACUUACUGACAUUAGUGUAGAGGAUAUCAUGGUGAUUCUCCGCUUAAGACUCCCAAAUUCAUUUAAGUUUUAUAAUUUGCGGUUUUCUUUUAUGCUUUCCUUGCUUAUGUAAUUUGAACUAUGAUUGACCUGAUUCCCCUAUAUGAGGGAUACGUAGGCGCUUAUUUAAUGAGUUCAGUCUCUUCAUAAUAAAAUUUUCUUUUUCCCCAUUUCAUCAUUUUAUAUACGGAUUUGGAUGAAUCAACAUUCUGAAAUAUGAAUCAACAAAUCAGAUGUUCAACAAAACCCGACCUUGUCAAUUCUCUUAACUUUCUUAUCUUCUUCACAAUCAAUUUCAGCAUCAUAUUCCUAUCAUCUGUUUCGUGCGUUAUAAGCUCUGAUUUUUAUGCCUAAGCCAAUUAUUAAGCCCUAUAUUUCAUCCUAGAAUGCCUUUAUUUUAUGUUUAUUAUGUUUUGAACUUAUAUGUUCUAUGUGGUAACUUUCGUUUGGGCUUGUUUAUUUUGUUUAAAGGUUGUCUAGCAUUUGAACAUCGAUCUCAAUUAAAUCUCCAAUAUGACAAAUAUACUUAAUAUCCGAAAAGACUCCAGCCCUCCUUCUCCUCGCCCAAGAUAAAACACUAUGCCUCCUUAUCCUCGCCUUACGCACAUACCCUCUCACCAAUUUCCUUAUGCCUAUGAGAGAAUUUAUUUAGAUGUACGUCAUCAAAGGCUUCAUGACCUAGAGAAAAGGUUAAAUGAGGAUCUGCAUUUUAGGGAUAUUUACGACAUGAGGUAUGAGAAGAUGUGUCUACACCCAAAAAUUAGUUUACCUCUGGGAUACAAAGUUCCAAAGUUUAACAUGUUUAAUGGGAGUGGAGGUCCAAUCACACAUCUAAUGAACUACUGUGGAAGACUAGUUGGCCUAGGAUAUCAUGAGGCUCUUCUGAUGAGAUUAUUUGUUCAAAGCCUAUCAGGAAUGGCACUCACAUGGUUCGCCCAACAAGAUUUUGACAAAUGGCAUGAUUGGGAUGAAUUGACUCAAGAUUGUGUAAGGUAAUAUAAGUUUAACAUCAAUACCAGUCAACUAAUAUGGGAUUUCCUUGAGGUAAAAAAAAUGGACCAUAAAUCUUUUAAGGAGUAUGCAAUAUGGUGGCGGUUAGAAGCUUCUAAGAUAUGUCCUUCCGUACCUGAAGAGGAGUUGGUCUAAAAUUUCCUCAGAUCACUAGAUGGAAUAUACUUUUAGAAAAUAUUCUUCCUAACCAGUCACAAUUUUGAGAGUCUAAUUUCGAUUGGAAAGAAACUAGAAUACAAAAUUUGAGCGGGGAGAAUAAUUGAUGUUUUUGCAAAGUUGGCCACUUUUUCAAAAAUUAAAGAGUCCAUUCGAGGAAGGCAAAGGAGAUUCAUCACCUUCCAUGCCUUAGCCCCAAGGCUAUCAGAAUAAUGAAGGGAUUCAGGCUAUUUUUGGUUCUCGUAGGGUACAUAUUGAACCUUAUGAAUCAAAAGAUUCUCAAAGCAAGGCUUGUCAGAUCCAACCCUACUCUAUCCAGUAAGAAACUUCUUGAACAUAACCCAGCUUUCAAUAAGGGCCUUAUCCAGUGCAUAAUGCUUUCCAUCAAUCGAAGAGAGUGAGAUCUCGAGCUUUUAUUCCCCUGAAUGAGCCCUUGGUGAACAUAUUCAAAAGAUUAAGGGGCCAAGGUAUCAUGGAACCGAGGAGAGGAUGGAUCCCUGUACAUCCACCCCCUCAUUUUGAUCUAUCUAAAAAUUAUGCUUAUCACUCAAAUAUUCAAAGUCAUGACAUCCGGUCGUCCGUCGCAUGUUGGUCAGAAAAAGAACAUACUGCCUCAGUGUGAUGGUUGAAGCGACGGUCCAUCGCUCAGCCUGACGGUCCGUCGCUCAGCCUGAUGGUCCAUCGGAUCAUCCAUUGCAUAUUGGCCAAGAUGAGGCUACACUACCUGAGAGCGACGGUCCCAGAGAUGGUCCGUCGGAUCGUUCGUCACUCUCAGUAAAACGAUCAUAACUUCUCACCCCAAUACCAAAUUUGGAAGAAAUUGGUAUCGUUGGAAAGCUAAUUCAACUCUCUACAUGACAAAAAGUCAAAUUUAAGAAAAUUCUAUAUGUUUUAAACACCAAUCACUUAGAAAUUCACUUCUCAAUCUUUUAGGGUCGGAAUUACACUUCGCUUGAAAUGCUCUAAGGAUCAAACUAUGAGGGAACUUUGUGGGUUCUUACAAUAUCUCCCCUUUGGAAAUAUUCAUCCUCGAAUGUCGCUAAUUAGACUAGGAACACAGGAAAAACAAAGUACACAUAGCUGAAGCAAUUUGCUAAACGGCUCAAAAUCUCUCUAAACUCUUGAAUACCUUAGUAAUUGCAAGAACUCAUACAAGAUAGAUACAUAGAUGAACUUUAGAUUAGAAGGGCUGAAUUAAGGAAGAACAAUACCUUUAGAUCUAUCUAAACUCAUGGAAAAGAUGUGCGGGUACUUGGCUCGCAUAUCUGCUUCUGGCUCCCAAGUAGCGCCCUCAACUGACUGGUUCUGCCACAAUACUUUGACCAAGGGAACCUUUUUGUUCCUCAGUCUAUGGAUCUGAAAAUCUAGGAUCGCAACAAAAAUCUCAUCGAAUGAAAGACCGUUCUGAAUAUCAGUACUCUCUGAGGGAUAUACUACAACAAAUCACCAAUAUGCUUUUAAAGUAUGGAGACAUGAAAUACAGAAUGAACAACUGACAACUCUGCAGGAAACUCAACCUCAUAGGCUACUUUACCAACAUGGAUCAAGACUCUAUACGGGCCAACAUAACGGGGACUAAGCUUUCCCUUUUUACCAAACCUCUUUACCCCUUUCAUGGGUGAAAUCUUUAAGUAUACCAAAUCACCUACCUCAAACUCAAGAUCUCUUUUCCUCGCAUCGGCAUAAGACUUUUGACGACUCUGAGCAGUCUUCAACCUCCCUCUAAUCAACUUAACUUUCUCCAUAGCUUCAAAUACUAGAUUAAGCCCAGUCAUGGUAGCUUCACCCACUUCAAACCAACCUAUGGGUGAUCUACAUCUCAUACCAUACAAGGCCUCAAAUGGUACCAUCCCAAUGCUAGCAUGGUAACUAUUGUUAUAGGCAAAAUCUAUCAAUGGCAAAUGCUCAUCCCAACUACCUUUGAAAUUAAAAGCACAUGCCCUCAACAUAUCUUUCAGGGUCUGAAUGGUCCUCUCAGCCUGACCAUCUGUCUGCGGAUGAAAAACGGAACUCAAAAGGACUUGGGUACCAAGAUCCUACUGGAAUGCCCUCCAAAAUUGAGAAGUAAAUUGAGUGCCCCUAUCUGAAAUGAUAGACGAGGGAACUCCAUGCAGCCUGACUAACUCUUGGAUAUACAAUCUAGCAUAAUCCUCAGCUGUAUAAGACGUGUGCACGGGCAAGAAAUGCGCGGACUUAGUCAGCCUAUCUACAAUAACCUAACUCUUGCAUCACACCACCAGGUCCUCGGUAAUCUACCUUAACCUUUUGGAAUGUUGCACACAUUGCUACGAAGUCGGCUAUAUCCUUUUUCAUACCAUUCCACUAAUAGAUCUCCCACAAGUUGCAGUACAUCUUGGUAACGCCGGAUGAAUGAAAUACCGCGCACCAUGCGCUUUAACCAUAAUCCUCUGCCUCAUAUCAUCAACACAUGGAAUGGACAAUCUAACCCGCAAUAUUAACACGCCAUCUCUCCCUUAGGAGAAAACCUCAACUUUUUGGUCCUUAACUGACUUUUUCAGUUGGACCAAACUAGGAUCUCUGUCUUGCUUCUCUUUCACUUUCGAAACUAAAGAGGAUUCGGAACUACUCCACACCAAAGUACUUUCCUCAGCUGAAUCAAGCAACCUAACACCCAAUCUAGCCAAAUAAUGCAAUCACGAGCUAACUCUUUCUUACUUUCCUCUAUAUGGGAAACACUACCCAUAGACAACCUGUUAAGGGCAUCCGCCACUACAUUGGCCUUGCCCAGGUGAUACAACACACUCAUAUCAUAUUCUUUUAACAACUCUAACUACCUUUUCUACCUAAGAUUCAACUCCCUCUGAGUAAACACAUACUGCAGGCUCUUAUGAUAAGUAAACACAUCAACAUGGACACCAUAAAGAUAAUGUCUCCAAAUUUUUCAAAGUAAAAACCACAACAGCUAAUUCAAGAUCAUGGGUCGGGUAAUUUUUCUUAUGCAGCUUCAACUGCCUAGAGGCAUAGGCUAUAACCUUACCUCUUUCCAUCAACACACAACCCAAGACAUCUCUAGAGGUAUCAGAAUACACCAUAAAAGCAUCUGUACCAUCAGGCAAAGUCAACACAGGGGCUGAAGUAAGUCGAGUCUUCAACUCUAGAAAUCUCUUCUCAUAGGAAUUUGACCACUGGAAUUUAAUUUACUUUUAAGUCAACCGGGUCAUAGGAGAUGCAAUAGAAGAGAAACCUUCAAUAAAACAAUGGUAGUAGCCCGUUAGACCCAAGAAACUUUUAAUGUCAGAUGGAGAGAUAGGUGUAGGCCAAUUUUUUACAGCUUCUGUCUUUUAGGGAUCAACUUUAAUACCUUCAGCUGAAACAAUAUGACCCAGAAAGGCUAUAGACCUUAUCCAAAAUUCAUACUUACUAAAUUUGGUAAACAACUGGUGAUCUCUAAGAGUUUGCAAGAUAAUUCUAAGGUGAUCUGCAUGAUCAUGCUCAUUGUGGGAGUAGACAAAGAUGUCAUCUAUGAAAUAUAACAAAUAUAUCUAGAAAUUGCUUGAACACUCGAUUCAUGAGGUCCAUAAAAUCUGUUGGGGCAUUGGUUAGCCCAAAAGGUUUGACUAGAAACUCAAAGUGACCAUAGCGAGUUCGGAAGGCUAUCUUUGGAAUAUCUAAUUCCCUCACUUUAAGUUGAUGAUAGUCAGAUCUAAGGUCUAUCUUGGAGAAAUAACUUGCACCUUGCAACUGAUCCAAUAGGUCAUCAAUUCUAGAAAGAGGAUACUUAUUUUUUACUGUGACCUUGUUAAGCUGACGAUAGUCAAUGUACAUAUGCAAAGAACCAUUUUUCUUUCGUACGAAUAAGACAGGUGUGCCCCAAGGAAAAAUACUGGGCCUAAUAAAAUCUGUAUAUAAAAGAUCUUUGAGUUGCUCUUUCAAAUCAUGUUGCUCUACAAGUACCAUAUGGUAUAGCGGAAUAAAAAUAUGAAAAGUAUUAAGAAGAAGGUCAAUCCCAAAUUCUAUCUCUCUAUCAAGAGGUACCCCUGGGUGAUAUUCCGGAAAAACAUCUGGAAACUCAUUAACAAUAUCGACUGACUAAAUAGUUAGAGCCUCGGACUUAGUAUCUUCAACUCUAACUAGGUGAUAGAUGCAAUCCUUGGAUAUUAGCUUUUUGGCUUUGAGAUAGAAGGUAAAAUGACUCUUGGGAGAUACCAAACUCCCGGACCACUCAAAAAAUGGCUCAUCAGGGAAUUGAAACCUGAUCACACGGGUACGACAGUCUAUAGAUGCAUAACAAGAAUGAAGCCAAUCCAUACCCAGAAUAAGGUCAAAAUCCACCAUGUCUAACUCUAUCAAAUCUGCAAGUGUGACUCUAUGAAAAGCAGUAAUAGGACAAUCUCUAUACACUUGUUUAGCAACAACUGACUCUCCUACUGGUGUGGAGACUAGGAAAGGCUCAGGAAUCCUUUUGGGACUCAUUUUAAAAGUCACAGUCACAAGUGGGGUCAUAUCUGAGAGACUUGACCCGAGGUCCAAAAACACAUAAACAUCAAAACAAAAGACAUGGAUCAUACCAUUAACAACAUCGGGAGAGUCCUCCUGCUCCUGACGGGAUGAUAAGGCAUAAAAUCUAUUUUGGCGCUGACUGCCAGUAGUGCUAGAUGAAGUGCCUUGAGUAGGGGCGGGAUGGGGUACAAGAGCUAGUGCACUAGUAGCCUGUGCCUGAGGUCGGGCAGCUUUGUUCCCCUGUCUAGCAUAAGAACAAUCUCUAAGUCUGUGGCCCUACUUGCUAUAAUAAAAACUACCCCUCAGAUCUACGAAACACUCACCAGGAUGAUCCCAACCACACUUAGCACAAGGGGGAUAGCAGGUCCUGUUACCAACAUUGUUCUACGAUCUACACAUAAAGGAUUUGCUCUCUUGAUCCUGCCUGCUUCUAGGUGUGAGAGUACUAGCUGAUGAAGGCAAUGGCAUAGAUAGAUGCCUCUAAAACUGAGGGUGGUUCCCUCCAUGGAACCUAGGCUGGUUGUACUCAUGCUGCUCAGAUCUAGCCUUCGUGUUACCCCUCAAUUGAUCUCUCUCCCUAAUCUUAUCCGCCUCUAUCUGCUGGGUAUGCAUCAUCAACCUAGCCAGAUCCAUAUCCCUUUGCAGUAUCACAAUCCUACACUCAUUCAGUACUAACCCAGAAAUGCCAGUCACGAACUUGCUCAUAGUAGCCCAGGUGUUAGAAAUCAAAUCAGGAGCAUACUUGGCCCACUGGUUGAACUUUACAAUACUCCUUAACAAUUAUGGAGCCCUGCCUAAAGUUUAUAAACUCCUCAAUAUUUGUUUCCCUCAUAUCAAGAAGAAAGAACUUAUCCAAGAAUGCAUCUUGAAACACCUGCCAAGUCAUAGGAGCGGCAUCCUCACCUCUAUCCAUCCUCCACGAUAUGACCCAGUCAUAAGCUAUGUCUAUCAACCUGUAAAACACCAACUUAAUACAUUCUUCCUCAGAAACAUGCAUCACCUACGUGAUAUUUGUCACCUCCUCAAGGUACAACUGUGGAUCCUUACCUGCCUUGGACCCAUAAAACUCUUGCAGAUUCAUCCAUAUAAAAUCAUGAAUCUUAGCCGCAGCUACAUCUCCUCCCUGUUGUUUAGCAACUGUAACCUGGUUAUUGGCCCAAACAUUAGCGGUGACUGCUUGGGCUAAUGCCUGAAAUGCCACCUGAAACUUAGCAUGAGACAUAGUCUCAUUCAAAG